GUGGUCAGUAGGACAGGUAUCAAGGUCACACGUACCAAACAAAUAGAACAAUUUAUCCGAUUUUUUUUUACGUUUUUACACACGAGGGUCACUUUAGUUAACUGGUUUAGUUGAUUUUAUUUUGUAUUGCGUCUUGUUUAGCAUGAUAUGUGUGCAAAUAUAGAGCUACUCUGAUUAAAAAAAUCAAGGUAGAAGCAGUGUGGUAAUUCAGUCUUAUAGAGUUUAAGUUGAUUUUCUGAAUUUGUUUAUAUUAUGUACCUCUGG
rnacentral:lncRNA from 1 species